UACGUAGGGUGCGAGCGUUAAUCGGAAUUACUGGGCGUAAAGCGUGCGCAGGCGGAUGUUUAAGUCAGAUGUGAAAUCCCCGGGCUCAACCUGGGAAUGGCAUUUGAAACUGGGCAUCUAGAGUGCGUCAGAGGGGGGUGGAAUUCCACGUGUAGCAGUGAAAUGCGUAGAGAUGUGGAGGAACACCGAUGGCGAAGGCAGCCCCCUGGGAUGACACUGACGCUCAUGCACGAAAGCGUGGGGAGCAAACAGGAUUAGAUACCCUGGUAGUCCACGCCCUAAACUAUGUCAACUAGUUGUUGGGGACGUAAGUUCUUAGUGACGAAGCUAACGCGUGAAGUUGACCGCCUGGGGAGUACGGCCGCAAGGUUG
rnacentral:rRNA from 1 species